CAGCCCAAACCCAACUUGCCAAACAGCCCCCAUCACUCUCGUAAAACCAAAAUCCAAACAGAAACACCCGAAUUCACCCUCACCAACCACAAACUGCUACACAAACGCCAACAGAGAGAGAGAGAGGCGGCCGCCGCCAUCGCCGCCAGCAAAUCAAACAUGUACAGAGACGUGUCGGCAUGCAACACAUACAAUUACGGCGACGCCCUCUACUGGGACGCUCGUUACAUUCAGGAAGGCGGUUCCUUCGACUGGUACCAGCGUUACUCUGCCCUAGGCCCCUUCGUCCGCAAGUACUUCCCCACCUCUUCUCGCGUCCUCAUGGUCGGUUGUGGCAAUGCCGAUUUUAGCCUAAAAAAGGCUAAAAACUUUCUUGCCGAACACCCCCAUUAUGUCAUUAGAGAAGGUAAGUAAAUAUUGAAGCCUCUAAUUCAUUUUUGGGACAUUCUAACAUACACACCCUUGUAAAGGGUGUACGGUAUGCACCCUUAGUUAUGCCAUUUUUUUGUUUAGCUAUGACUAAUUUUCUUCUUUAGUUAUGAAUCAAAAGUUCUUUAGUUAUGCCUCAUGCUGUGUUUAGUUGGGACUUUUUUUUUAAUUAUGAUUUAGAAAAUAUGAAGUUAUGCCAUUUUCUCAUUUAGUUAUAAAGUACAGAUAGUACACACCCUGGUUCGCUUUUAUUUUUUGGUACCUUUUCUUGUGGAGCCAAAGCUAGUUUAUGCUUCUAAUGGGUUAACUUUUUUGUUUUGUUGCUUUGAAUCUACCAUGAAAAAAGUUGAUUCAUGCAAAUGGCUGUCUAUAAUUUUAAGGGAAGAAGUAAUAUAUGCUUCUCAAGGAAGCACGGGUGUGGGUGUGAGUACGGUAUAAGUACGAGUGCGGGUACGCCGAUUCGGCAAAACUCAAAAAAAGUAUGAUACGGGUACGGCUACGGUACGCUGAUAUAUAUAUAUAUAUAUAUUUGAUAUAAUUAUGGUUAAAUGAUCCAACCUACAAAUUAAAAUUAAAAUUAAAUAUCAAAACUAAAAAGAGAACUAUUCAUUUUCCUAUAAUUUAAAAUCAUUAAGAGUUAAAAAUGUGAAAUCUCUCACUUUGACAUGUUAUGCACUGUGAAUUUGUUAUCAUAAUUUAUUUUUAAAAUCUUUCUUUUUGCUCUCAUCAAUUUGCUAUUUUUAUAUGGUGAGACCAAAGAAAUAACAGGAGACCAAAGAAGAUUUAAAGUUAAUUGCCAACAGUAAAGGAAAAAAAAUUCUCAAUUGAGGCAGGUUGUCAAUUGCAAUUUGCAUAAUACAUAAAAUUGCAUCAUUUCCAACCAUUACUAAUCAACUAAUACCGUAUCAAUUUUUAAUAUUUUGUGCAUAAACUUUAAAAGUUUGUUAUGAUUAAAGAUUUUAUAAAGAAAUUCUAGGAGGAUCUGAAGCAAAAGCAUAAUGCAUAGUCAUACGUAGAACUGCCAUUUAUGGGCCUUGUUAUUUUUUUUGUUCAAAUUGCUUUUUAAAAAUAUCAAAAUCAUUUGCUGAUAUGCUUAUAUAAUUCAUACAAAUAGACAGGACAGUAGAGAAACAUCAAAAUUGCUGAUCUGCAAGGGCACUAAAAAAAAAAAAUAAAAAAUUGCUGAACCAAAAAAAAAAA